rnacentral:rRNA from 1 species
CAGCAGCCACGGUAAUACGAAGGGGGCUAGCGUUGUUCGGAUUUACUGGGCGUAAAGCGCACGUAGGCGGAUCCUUAAGUCAGAGGUGAAAUCCCAAGGCUCAACCUUGGAACUGCCUUUGAUACUGGGGAUCUCGAGUUCGGGAGAGGUGAGUGGAACUGCGAGUGUAGAGGUGAAAUUCGUAGAUAUUCGCAAGAACACCAGUGGCGAAGGCGGCUCACUGGCCCGAUACUGACGCUGAGGUGCGAAAGCGUGGGGAGCAAACAGGAUUAGAGACCCCAGUAGUCCCUGUCUCUUAUAC